AGAAAAUUCCCAAGCAACAGUAGAGUAGAACUGGAGAAUUGCAUUUACCAAUUCUCUAGAAGAGAUAGAGAAUGACUAAGAAAAACUCCAUUACUUGUAAAGAGAAGAAAGAAAUGUCAACGACUUUUUUUGGCACGUCUGGAAAGAAGAGAAGCAAAUGGAUCAGGCAAUAAUGCAGGAGAGAUCAAAGCAAUUCCUUCUGUCAACAGUAGCAAUUCAAGCAAAUCUCUAAAUACUGAAGGCUUUCCUUAGCUAAAGAGAAGUCUGGGAGAGAGGAUCAUUGUGGAAAUCACAUCACAGAGACUGGUAUCAGCUUCUGAAUUUUAUGUCAUAAGUAAAUUCUGGUUAAGGACAACCAACCUUGGCAUAGGAAGAGGGGAGGAAGGGAAGUGGAAUCAGGAUUUAUUGAACACUAACUAUGGUAUUUCACCUGCAUGAUGGCCAAGACUUCUACAGCGUGCUCCUCUAUGGCAGAGUGGUAAUUAGUGUGCUCUUGAGCUAAGUUGUCUUGCACCUAUACUCUGUCUCGGCCACGCACUUUGGUGCAGGUUAUUUAAGCUUCUUUUGCUAGCACUUUCAUCAUCAUGAAUAGUAAAAUCAGAUUAUUGUAAGUAUAAAAUAAGUGAAUUGACAUCAUGUA
rnacentral:lncRNA from 12 species